rnacentral:rRNA from 1 species
GAUGAACGCUGGCGGCGUGCCUAAUACAUGCAAGUCGAGCGAACAGACUAGGAGCUUGCUCCUCUGACGUUAGCGGCGGACGGGUGAGUAACCCGUGGACAACCUACCUAUAAGACUGGGAUAACUUCGGGAAACCGGAGCUAAUACCAGAUAAUAUAUUGAACCGCAUGGUUCAAUAGUGAAAGACGGUUUUGCUGUCACUUAUAGAUGGAUCCGCGCCGCAUUAGCUAGUUGGUCAGGUAACGGCUUACCAAGGCGACGAUGCGUAGCCGACCUGAGAGGGUGAGCGGCCACACUGGAACUGAGACACGGUCCAGACUCCUACGGGAGGCAGCAGUAGGGAAUCUUCCGCAAUGGGCGAAAGCCUGACGGAGCAACGCCGCGUGAGUGAUGAAGGUCUUCGGAUCGUAAAACUCUGUUAUUAGGGAAGAACAAAUGUGUAAGUAACUAUGCACGUCUUGACGGUACCUAAUCAGAAAGCCACGGCUAACUACGUG